rnacentral:rRNA from 1 species
AGUGAACGCUGGCGGUAGGCCUAACACAUGCAAGUCGAACGGCAGCACAGUAAGAGCUUGCUCUUACGGGUGGCGAGUGGCGGACGGGUGAGGAAUACAUCGGAAUCUACUUUUUCGUGGGGGAUAACGUAGGGAAACUUACGCUAAUACCGCAUACGACCUACGGGUGAAAGCAGGGGAUCUUCGGACCUUGCGCGAUUGAAUGAGCCGAUGUCGGAUUAGCUAGUUGGCGGGGUAAAGGCCCACCAAGGCGACGAUCCGUAGCUGGUCUGAGAGGAUGAUCAGCCACACUGGAACUGAGACACGGUCCAGACUCCUACGGGAGGAAGCAGUGGGGAAUAUUGGACAAUGGGGGCAAGCCUGAUCCAGCCAUACCGCGUGGGUGAAGAAGGCCUUCGGGUUGUAAAGCCCUUUUGUUGGGAAAGAAAAGCAGCAGGUUAAUACGCCGCUGUUCUGACGGUACCCAAAGAAUAAGCACCGGCUAACUUCGUG